GGCUGGUUAGCUCAGUUGAUUAGAGCAUGGUGCUGAGAACACCAAGGUCACGGGUUCAAUUCCUGUUUGGUCCC
rnacentral:tRNA from 1 species